rnacentral:rRNA from 1 species
AUGCGGAUGGACAAUGGCGAUGAGCUGGACGACUACGCCAGGAAGGUCAGCGGCAUGGCGGCGAGGUACGCGCUGCUCGGGUCGACGCUCGACAACAGCGCCAUGGUGAAGAAGUUGCUCGACACCGUGCCGGACCGCCUGUACGCCGCGGUGGCCGGAAUCGAGCAGUUCUGCAAUAUGGAGGAGAUGGCGUUUGAGGAGGCACUCGGGCGACUCAAGGCGUUCGAGAAGUGGACGCGGCGGCGCGUGCAGGCCGGCGGCGAGCACGCGGACGGGCAGCUGAUGAUGAUGGCAGCACAGUGGGCGGCUCGGGAGCGACGACAAGGCGGACGCGGCUUCGGCGACCACGACAACGACGGCGUGGCGAGCACAUCGUCAUGCAAUGGAGGGAAGCGUCGUGGGCAUUGCUACAAAUGCGGGGAGCACAUGCACUUCCGGUGCGAGUGCCCGCAGCUGCGGAAAGGACCGGCGGCGGAGCAGGCUCUCUUGGCCGAUGCCAACGUCGACGACGGCAGACUUCUC